rnacentral:rRNA from 1 species
GAAAAGAAACCAACAGGGAUUGCCCUAGUAACGGCGAGUGAAGCGGCAACAGCUCAAAUUUGAAAUCUGGCCUCGGCCCGAGUUGUAAUUUGCAGAGGAUGCUUCUGGCGCGGUGCCUUCCGAGUUCCCUGGAACGGGACGCCACAGAGGGUGAGAGCCCCGUAUGGUCGGACACCAAGCCUGUGUGAAGCUCCUUCGACGAGUCGAGUAGUUUGGGAAUGCUGCUCAAAAUGGGAGGUAAAUCUCUUCUAAAGCUAAAUACCGGCCAGAGACCGAUAGCGCACAAGUAGAGUGAUCGAAAGAUGAAAAGCACCUUGAAAAGGGGGUUAAACAGUACGUGAAAUUGUUGAAAGGGAAGCGCUUGUGACCAGACUUGUGCCGGGCGGCUCAUCAGGGGUUCUCCCCUGUGCACUCCGCCCGGCUCAGGCCAGCAUCGGUUCUCGCCGGGGGAUAAGAACGGUGGGAACGUGGCUCCCCUCGGGGAGUGUUAUAGCCCACCGUACGAUACCCUGGCGGGGACCGAGGUUCGCGCUCCGCAAGGAUGCUGGCGUAAUGGUCACUAGCGACCCGUCUU